rnacentral:misc_RNA from 1 species
GGAGCAUCCAACUCUUCUUUCGAUGAGAAUUCUGGUUCAGAAGGUCUAUCGUCUACAUUUCCAUUGUCUUCCUCUGACUUAAUUGCUUCCUUAACUGGUGAGUCAUUGUUUAUCUCAAGAUGCUCCAGUGGACUGGGAUUAGCAUUUUCAUCUUUCCUUUCUGAAACCAUACCAGUACGGGUAACCUCGAGAUUUUCUUGGAAGAUUGUCUCUUGA